AGUGAACGCUGGCGGCGUGCUUAACACAUGCAAGUCGAACGAGAACGGAUUAUAGCUUGCUAUAAUUGUCAGCUAAGUGGCGCACGGGUGAGUAAUGUAUAGGUAAUAUGCCUCUUACUAAGGGAUAACAAAUGGAAACGUUUGCUAAUACCUUGUACUCCUUAUUAACCAAGUUAAUAAGGGAAAGAUUUAUUGGUAAGAGAUUAGCCUGUAUUGUAUCAGUUAGUUGGUGGGGUAAUGGCUUACCAAGACUAUGACACAUAACUGGUUUGAGAGGAUGAUCAGUCACACUGGAACUGAGACACGGUCCAGACUCCUACGGGAGGCAGCAGUGGGGAAUAUUGCACAAUGGACGAAAGUCUGAUGCAGCAACGCCGCGUGGAGGAUGACACAUUUCGGUGCGUAAACUCCUUUUAUAUGAGAAGAUAAUGACGGUAUUAUAUGAAUAAGCACCGGCUAACUCCGUGCCAGCCGCCGCAGUAA
rnacentral:rRNA from 1 species